AUUGAACGCUGGCGGCAUGCUUUACACAUGCAAGUCGAACGGCAGCGCGGGCUUCGGCCUGGCGGCGAGUGGCGAACGGGUGAGUAAUGCAUCGGAACGUGCCCAGUAGUGGGGGAUAGCCCGGCGAAAGCCGGAUUAAUACCGCAUACGACCUGAGGGUGAAAGCGGGGGACCGAAAGGCCUCGCGCUAUUUGAGCGGCCGAUGUCGGAGUAGCUAGUUGGUGGGGUAAAGGCUUACCAAGGCGACGAUCCGUAGCUGGUCUGAGAGGACGACCAGCCACACUGGGACUGAGACACGGCCCAGACUCCUACGGGAGGCAGCAGUGGGGAAUGUUGGACAAUGGGGGCAACCCUGAUCCAGCCAUGCCGCGUGCGGGAAGAAGGCCUUCGGGUUGUAAACCGCUUUUGUUCGGGAAGAAAUCCUCUGGGCUAAUACCCCGGGGGGAUGACGGUACCGGAAGAAUAAGCACCGGCUAACUACGUG
rnacentral:rRNA from 1 species